rnacentral:rRNA from 1 species
CAGCAGUCGCCGCGGUAAAACGUAGGGUCCGAGCGUUGUCCGGAAUUAUUGGGCGUAAAGGGCUCGUAGGCGGUUUGUCGCGUCGGGAGUGAAAACCAGCAGCUUAACUGCUGGCCUGCUUUCGAUACGGGCAGACUUGAGGCAUUCAGGGGAGAACGGAAUUCCUGGUGUAGCGGUGAAAUGCGCAGAUAUCAGGAGGAACACCGGUGGCGAAGGCGGUUCUCUGGGAAUGUUCUGACGCUGAGGUACGAAAGCAUGGGGAGCAAACAGGAUUAGAUACCCCUGUAGUCCCUGUCUCUUAUAC